rnacentral:rRNA from 1 species
AUUGGACGCUGGCGGCAGGCUUAACACAUGCAAGUCGAGCGGUAACAGAGAGAAGCUUGCUUCUCUGCUGACGAGCGGCGGACGGGUGAGUAAUGCCUAGGAAUCUGCCUGGUAGUGGGGGAUAACUUGCCGAAAGGUAAGCUAAUACCGCAUACGUCCUACGGGAGAAAGGAGGGGACCUUCGGGCCUUUCGCUAUUAGAUGAGCCUAGGUCGGAUUAGUUAGUUGGUGAGGUAAUGGCUCACCAAGACCGCGAUCCGUAACUGGUCUGAGAGGAUGAUCAGUCACACUGGAACUGAGACACGGUCCAGACUCCUACGGGAGGCAGCAGUGGGGAAUAUUGGACAAUGGGGGGAACCCUGAUCCAGCCAUGCCGCGUGUGUGAAGAGGGUCUUAGGAUUGUAAAGCACUUUAAGUUGGGAGGAAGAGCAGUUAACUAAUAUUUGACUGUUUUGACGUUACCGACAGAAUAAGCACCGGCUAACUUCGUGCCAGCCGCCGCUGUAA